rfam:Xenococcus sp. PCC 7305 scaffold_00216, whole genome shotgun sequence.
GGUGGCAUAGCCAAGUGGUAAGGCCGUGGAUUGCAAAUCCAUUAUCCCCCAGUUCGAAUCUGGGUGCCACCU